rnacentral:misc_RNA from 1 species
AUUUACACUGCUGCCAUAAGCCAGGUAUAUAUUUAAUGGUUGAGUUUACUAUCCUUUUGUUAAUUCUCUUGCUUAGAAAUGCAGUCAAUUUUUGUGGAAGGAUAGGAGGAGUUUUCUGAGAACAAAAAGAAAAAGAAGAAAAAAAUAAUUUAAGGAGGGAGGGGGGAAAAGCAGAAACUAUUGAAAAGCCACUAUAUGCUAAAGAUUGAGCAUGUAGGCUACCAUUCGCCGCGGGCCGCGCCCCUCCAACAACAACCAAAAAAAAGAAAAAAAAAAAGAAAGAAAGAAAAUAAACUGGAGCCUCAAAAAAGCAUAUGAUGACACGAGGAGUACAAGGAGGGCCAAUUUGAUACUACGCCAGCACCACUCACUAAGCUCAUUAAAACAACUCAUGGUCAGCCCAUUUCCCAAAAAAAAGCAGAAACAAAAGGAGAUUCUUUUAUCUUGAGCCAGUAGCUGUAUCGGUCUUCUUUUUGCCUUUAAAAACUUGCAGGACCCCAUCUGAUCCUCCUGCAACUAGUGUACAUUCAUCGUCCCCCACUUGCCUCCAACAUACACAGCUUACAAACCCACGGUCGGCUAUGCCUGGCUCGAACCCAUGCAUCCAUAUGGGUUCGCCCCACCUCUUGUCGUAAACGAACACUUGGUUGUUUUCCGAUCCGCACCCUAAUAACCCUCCAUUUCUCCACAUCGAUAACCCAACAAAGUUCUUAUUAUUAACAUGCCCCUUGUACGUGCGAAUCAUUUGGGAAUCUUGUAAAUUCCACAGCUUUAAGCACCCAUCAAUGCCUGCGGAUACCAAUGUAAGCUCAUUCACAAACCUGACGUAUGUCACGGUUUUCUCAUGCCCAUCUAGCACGAAUGCCGGGUCUUUCAUCAUCCGGGUAUCGUACCCGUAUACCCUCCUGUCAGCGCAUCCAACGGCUAUCGUUGACCUGGUAGACGGAUUAAACUCCACGCUACAGACGGCCCUCCGCGUCUCGCCGGGUUGAACUGUAGCUACACAUCCACCGCCCUCACAACGUGGGUCCCACAUUUGCAUGGUCCCAUCGUCCGAUCCAGACGCACCAAUCACCGGAUCCCAAUGCGAAUAAUCCACGCUCCAUACCCGGCGACCACCAUGCUCAUCGCGUUCAAAGAUCGGUACUCUUCUCUCAAGGUCAUACUCCAUGACAACUCCGUCGUAGUCUCCCGACGCUAUAACCCGGCUAUCGGAACCAGGUUUCCAUCGGAGACUGCUAAGCUUAGCCGGGGUACAUAUGUAAUAUUCGCAAACAUUAGCAUGGUCUAACAAAACCAUAUCGUGUCCAUUUUGGCUACCUUCAUGCGGUAGCAAAGACUUGAAGUUAUAGAUUCUUAUCUUUCUGGCAAUUCCACCCGUGGCAACGAUGCUUUCAGACUGGUCGAAUUCGAUUACACCGAGGGCAUCGGACCCAGCUCCAUGGCUGCUUGAUGAAACCACCGUCUCAAGACUGAAAUCCCAUUCACAUCUAGCUCUUUCUUCUUCUUUGUCUUCUUCUUCUAUGUGUUGCUCUAUGAUUUGGCUUUCUUCAUGUUUUAGCGCUUCAACCCUAGUUGCAGGAUGGAAUUGAUCAGACAGGUUUUUCAUUGCCCAUUCACCGUAUCUCGUAUAGAUGUUAAUGUUGCAAAGCUUUCAGCGUUUGGACCAGUGAAAGGUUCCCAUAAAUCUAGCAAAGUUUCCAUAAUUGCCGAGAAUAGAUAAAUCGCCUAGUUAUCCUCAUCUUUUUUAUUUUCUUUUUCUAUUUUUGUUUUGUUUGUAUUUUCAUUUUCUCCAUUGUCUUUAUAAGAUUUUGUUUUCCUUUUCAAUAAAAU